rnacentral:rRNA from 1 species
GAUGAACGCUGGCGGCGUGCCUAAUACAUGCAAGUCGAGCGAACAGAUGAGGAGCUUGCUCCUCUGACGUUAGCGGCGGACGGGUGAGUAACACGUGGAUAACCUACCUAUAAGACUGGGAUAACUACGGGAAACCGGAGCUAAUACCGGAUAAUAUAUUGAACCGCAUGGCUCAAUAGUGAAAGACGGUUUUGCUGUCACUUAUAGAUGGAUCCGCGCCGCAUUAGCUAGUUGGUAAGGUAACGGCUUACCAAGGCAACGAUGCGUAGCCGACCUGAGAGGGUGAUCGGCCACACUGGAACUGAGACACGGUCCAGACUCCUACGGGAGGCAGCAGUAGGGAAUCUUCCGCAAUGGGCGAAAGCCUGACGGAGCAACGCCGCGUGAGUGAUGAAGGUCUUCGGAUCGUAAAACUCUGUUAUUAGGGAAGAACAAAUGUGUAAGUAACUAUGCACGUCUUGACGGUACCUAAUCAGAAAGCCACGGCUAACUACGUG